UCGCCUGUUUAUCAAAAACAUUUCCUUUUUAAAAUUAUAUUAGGUAAGCCCUGCCCAGUGUUUAUAAACGGCCGCGGUAUCUCUAACCGUGCGAAGGUAGCAUAAUCAUUUGCCUUUUAAUUGGUGGCUAGAAUGAAUGGGUAAACAAAACUAUAACUUUUUUAUUUUUUAAAAAAAAAUUAGAAUUUUAGUGAAAAUACUAAACAAAAAAAGAAAGACAAAAAGACCCUAUCGAGCUAUUUUUAACAAACUCUAUAUUUUGUUGGGGCAACAAAGGAUUAAAAAAAACAUCCUAAACCAUUUUGGUAAAGACGAAAAAAUAAAAAAAAGAAAAGCUACCGUAGGGAUAACAGACUUAUUUUUUCCGAGAGCUCAAAUUGACGAAAAAGAUUAGCACCUCGAUGUUGGCUCAAGAUGACUAGUACGUGCAGCCCCGUACUAAGUGGGUUUGUUCACCCUUUAAAUUCUUACGUGAUCUGAGUUCAGACCGG
rnacentral:rRNA from 1 species